rnacentral:rRNA from 1 species
CCUACGGGAGGCAGCAGUGGGGAAUUUUGGACAAUGGGCGCAAGCCUGAUCCAGCAAUGCCGCGUGAGUGAAGAAGGCCUUCGGGUUGUAAAGCUCUUUUGUCAGGGAAGAAACGGCUGAGGAUAAUACCUUCGGCUAAUGACGGUACCUGAAGAAUAAGCACCGGCUAACUACGUGCCAGCAGCCGCGGUAAUACGUAGGGUGCAAGCGUUAAUCGGAAUUACUGGGCGUAAAGCGUGCGCAGGCGGUUUUGUAAGUCUGUCGUGAAAGCCCCGGGCUCAACCUGGGAAUUGCGAUGGAGACUGCAAGGCUUGAAUCUGGCAGAGGGGGGUAGAAUUCCACGUGUAGCAGUGAAAUGCGUAGAGAUGUGGAGGAACACCGAUGGCGAAGGCAGCCCCCUGGGUCAAGAUUGACGCUCAUGCACGAAAGCGUGGGGAGCAAACAGGAUUAGAUACCCUGGUAGUCCACGCCCUAAACGAUGUCUACUAGUUGUCGGGUUUUAAUUAACUUGGUAACGCAGCUAACGCGUGAAGUAGACCGCCUGGGGAGUACGGUCGCAAGAUUAAAACUCAAAGGAAUUGACGG